rnacentral:RNase_P_RNA from 1 species
CCGGAUGGCUGGGCGACCGCUGGCGCCGCGAGAGAUCGCGGUUCUGGAGGAAAGUCCGGGCUCCACGGAAAUACGGUGCCGGCUAACGACCGGCGUGCGCAAGCACAGGGAAAGUGCCACAGAAAACAAACCGCCAGCCCGGUUUCGGCCCGUCUGGCAAGGGUGAAACGGUGGGGUAAGAGCCCACCGCGCUUCCAGCAAUGGCGGCGGCACGGCAAACCCCACCGGGAGCAAGGCCGAAUAGGGAGGGCCGCCACGGCGCUUCGGCGCUGGUGGCAGGGGCAUUUCCGCCCCGUCCUCCGGGUUGGCCGCGCGAAGCCUGCGGCAACGCAGGCUCCAGAGGAAUGGUCGCACACGGUUCUUCGGGACCAGGACAGAACCCGGCUUACAGGCCAUCCGGUAUC